rnacentral:rRNA from 1 species
UACGAAGGGGGCUAGCGUUGCUCGGAAUCACUGGGCGUAAAGCGCACGUAGGCGGCUUUGUAAGUUAGAGGUGAAAGCCCGGGGCUCAACUCCGGAAUUGCCUUUAAGACUGCAUCGCUAGAAUUGUGGAGAGGUAAGUGGAAUUCCGAGUGUAGAGGUGAAAUUCGUAGAUAUUCGGAAGAACACCAGUGGCGAAGGCGACUACCUGGCCUGUUCUUGACGCUGAGGCGCGAAAGCUAGGGGAGCAAACGGG